GAUGAACGCUGGCGGCGUGCUUAACACAUGCAAGUCGAACGGAAAGGCCCCUGCUUGCAGGGGUACUCGAGUGGCGAACGGGUGAGUAACACGUGGGUGAUCUGCCCUGCACUUCGGGAUAAGCCUGGGAAACUGGGUCUAAUACCGGAUAGGACGAUGGUUUGGAUGCCAUUGUGGAAAGUUUUUCGGUGUGGGAUGAGCUCGCGGCCUAUCAGCUUAUUGGUGGGGUAAUGGCUUACCAAGGCGUCGACGGGUAGCCGGCCUGAGAGGGUGUACGGCCACAUUGGGACUGAGAUACGGCCCAGACUCCUACGGGAGGCAGCAGUGGGGAAUAUUGCACAAUGGGCGCAAGCCUGAUGCAGCGACGCCGCGUGGGGGAUGACGGCCUUCGGGUUGUAAACUCCUUUCGUCAGGGACGAAGCGAAAGUGACGGUACCUGGAUAAGAAGCACCGGCUAACUACGUG
rnacentral:rRNA from 1 species